UACGUAGGGUGCGAGCGUUGUCCGGAAUUAUUGGGCGUAAAGGGCUCGUAGGCGGUUUGUCGCGUCGGGAGUGAAAUCCACUGGCUUAACUGGUGGCUUGCUUUCGAUACGGGCAGACUGGAGGUAUGCAGGGGAGAACGGAAUUCCUGGUGUAGCGGUGAAAUGCGCAGAUAUCAGGAGGAACACCGGUGGCAAAGGCGGUUCUCUGGGCAUGUCCUGACGCUGAGGAGCGAAAGUGUGGGGAGCGAACAGG
rnacentral:rRNA from 1 species